UCAGCCACGGUUCAUCUGCAUAUUCAUGAGGCGAUUUGACAGAGUACUAGAAUAUGGCGACAGAUGUAACACUAACCGGACGAAAAGCGUGGUGGAAUUUAUCGUUUUUCUCAGCUUUUGUGGGACUGCUGAGCAGUCCUGUAUCAGGUAAGUCUUUUCUAAUUGAUGUUGACUAAUAUCCAUGUGACAUUUCAUAAGGAGCAUGCAUGCAUAUAUUAUUAAAUUAUGCUAAUUCCAUGUGUAAGUAAUUAUUGAUUUCAUCAUGAUAUUUUGUUCUGGUUAAAUUGCUCUUACAUGUAUUCUAUGUUCUGAUACAAUUUCUGUUAAUUUUGUUACACAAAAGUGCAUGGACAAUUCUACGAAUUAUUCGCUCUAUAAGUACUUUCCUCUAUUAAUGAUUAUUAAAAUCUGCAUCAAUUAAUAAAUACAAAUAAUAUGUCUCUCUCUAUAUAAGCACUUAGCUUUAAAUUUGGCAACAAUUUCAGCAUGUAAUUUUGACUGUAAAGCAAUUCAUAAAUCAAUUUCAGCAUGUAAUUUUGACUGUAAAGCAAUUCAUAAAUCAGUAGAAGUCUCCUGUAUGCACAUUGCAGAUGAAAAAACAUUCUUUUAAUUUUGUCUUUCUAAAAGUCUUGAAAACUGUUGUCAUGAGCAAAAUUUCAGUGCUAGUACAAUGAAAGCUGCCUUAGCGACCAUCUGUAUAGAAAGACCCCUUGUUUAUAAAAAACACAUUUUCUGUUUCUCAU